rnacentral:misc_RNA from 1 species
AGCAAUUGAGUCAGCGAAAUACAUCUGCAGAGUAUACAACUUUGGCAUCAAGGGAUGAGUCGACAGUUCCACCUCCCUCGGAAGAGGAUUGGAUUCCACCACUGCCGUCUGAUAGUGAUCAGGUACCUCCACCUCCUCCUGACAGUGAACUAGUUCCUCCACCGCCCCCACCUGAUGAGCCUUCUGAAUCUUCAUAUCCUCCGCUUCCAUCAUAUUCAGAGACACAUCAACCUCUCCCAUACACCGAACAAGACAACUUAUCCUAUCCAGAUGCUAAUUUCCAAUAUUAUGGACACACAGUUACUGCC